UACAGAGGUGGCAAGCGUUGUUCGGAAUUACUGGGAGUAAAGGGCUCGUAGGUGGCCAACUAAGUCAGACGUGAAAUCCCUCAGCUUAACUGGGGAACUGCGUCUGAUACUGGAUGGCUUGAGUUUGGGAGAGGGAUGCGGAAUUCCAGGUGUAGCGGUGAAAUGCGUAGAUAUCUGGAGGAACACCGGUGGCGAAGGCGGCAUCCUGGACCAACACUGACACUGAGGAGCGAAAGCCAGGGGAGCAAACGGG
rnacentral:rRNA from 1 species